rnacentral:rRNA from 1 species
AUUGAACGCUGGCGGCAUGCCUUACACAUGCAAGUCGAACGGCAGCACGGGUGCUUGCACCUGGUGGCGAGUGGCGAACGGGUGAGUAAUACAUCGGAACGUACCUUAUCGUGGGGGAUAACGCAGCGAAAGCUGUGCUAAUACCGCAUACGCCCUGAGGGGGAAAGCGGGGGAUCGAAAGACCUCGCGCGAUUAGAGCGGCCGAUGCCUGAUUAGCUUGUUGGGGGGGUAAAAGCCCACCAAGGCGACGAUCAGUAGCUGGUCUGAGAGGACGAUCAGCCGCACUGGGACUGAGACACGGCCCAGACUCCUACGGGAGGAAGCAGUGGGGAAUUUUGGACAAUGGGGGCAACCCUGAUCCAGCAAUGCCGCGUGAGUGAAGAAGGCCUUCGGGUUGUAAAGCUCUUUUGUCAGGGAAGAAACACCGGCUCUAACACAGUCCGGGAAUGACGGUACCUGAAGAAUAAGCACCGGCUAACUACGUGCCAGCCGCCGCCGUAA